GGAGACGGUGCGGCUAAAAAUGCAAAUUCUUGAUUUUUUUUGGAUCUAUUUUUUUUCAAGAUUCCUCAAAAACUGAUAAUAUGAACAUAGAGGAUCUUAAACAGCAAAAGUCUGCACACACUUUUUGUGAAACUACAUGGGUAUUCCAGUAAAAAGAAGAGAACAAGGGAGAUAAGGAGUAAGGCAAGAUAGGGAGAUGAACAAGGGAGGGCAAUGUAUGCGUGGGGGUGCAGAGUGGCCCUGGAGGGUCGUGAUCCAGGGGGUUCACAGCGCGCGCAAGGAAAACUUUCCACCGAACGAAACCGAAUCACCUUCCUUCUUCCUGUUUCCUUUUUUUGUUUCCUUUUUUUUGGUGCACUUUCCUUUUUUUAUUUCUUUCUAUCUUUUUUUGGACAGGGAGGGGGCGAUCGGAGGGGUGGUAUGCGGCGGCGCGGUGGUCUGGUGGUGACCAAGGCGGGUAUUCGCGCGAGGGGGAUGGUGUGUGAACAGUGGAACGGUGGCGGAAACUAGGGUUAAGAGAACAAAGAGAAAAACAAGGGAUUAAACACAAGUGACUAGCAACAAUUGAACGAGUAAGCACACAAAUUCAACACAGAUUAUUGAAAGAAUGUGCAAGGCUAAAGGGUUGCUGGGAUAAGGAUGUAACAUGAAGAAAAGUCUUGUUUUGUUUUGGUUUUUUUGGACUAUAGGAAGGGAAAAACACUCGAUAAAACUCACCGAUCAACCUGGAAACCUGAGACCACUUGAUAGAGGGGGAGUGCCUGAUCUUUCGGUGAGUGGAGAUAAUUUUGAUUUGGUGGAUGUAGACGCUCAUGAUCCGACUACGACGAGCGAACCCGAAGCGCCAAUGCAAUUGCUGAACCAACUCCCAAUAGUUACCAACCUCGUCGGUGCGAGAUCAGCCUAAUCACGAAGACCAAUUCCUGCACGCAAUCAAAGAACGAACAAGAAAAAGACGCA
rnacentral:lncRNA from 1 species